ACAGUUUUAGUCCUGAACUUACUAUUACUUCUUAUCAGAAUUAUACAUGCAAGUCUCCGCACCCCAGUGCUGACGCCCUAAACCACGGAGCAGGUAUCAGGCUCUCACAAAUGUAACCAAAGACACCUAGCUACGCCACACCCCCACGGGACCCAGCAGUAAUAAACAUUAAGCUAUAAGCGACCCCCCCUCCUUCUUUAAAGCUUGACUUAAUCAUGAUUAGACUAGGGCCGGUAAAUUUCGUGCCAGCCACCGCGGUUAUACGAAAGGCCCGAAACAAUAGUACCCGGCGUAAAACGUGACUAGAGCCUAAGUACAAAAUGAGAUUUUAAACUUGAGCUAAGUUAUAAAACACAUCAAGCCCCCUGGAAACACCACUUAAUCUCAAUAAACACCUCCCCUUGACCUCACGAAAGCCAAGAAACAAACUAGGAUUAGAUACCCUACUAUGCUUCGCCAUAAACCCAGACACUCACCCACUACACAUGUCCGCCAGAGCACUACAAGUGAAAAACUAGAAACUCAAAGGACUUGACGGUGUCCCACACCAACCUAGAGGAGCCUGUCCUGUAAUCGAUACCCCACGAAAAACCUCACCCCCCCUUGCAAAAUCUUCAGCCUAUAUACCGCCGUCGCCAGCUUACCUUGUGAGAGACACCAAGUAGGCAAAACAUUUAAACCCAUAAAACGUCAGGUCAAGGUGUAGCACAUGGGCGGGAAAGAGAUGGGCUACAUUUUCUAAAAAGAAAACACUAAUACAUACCCUGAAAAAAUAUAAAACGGUGGAUUUAGCAGUAAGCCGAGUCAGACAGCUCAACUGAAACUCUCGCCCUGGGACGCGUACACACCGCCCGUCACCCUCAUCAACUAAUAAACCUGAAUAAUUUAUAAUCUACACACCCUUGUACAGAUGAGGUAAGUCGUAACAUGGUAAGCGUACUGGAAAGUGCGCUUGGACUA
rnacentral:ncRNA from 1 species